rnacentral:rRNA from 1 species
AAAACUUUCAACAACGGAUCUCUUGGUUCCGGCAUCGAUGAAGAACGCAGCGAAAUGCGAUACGUAAUGUGAAUUGCAAAUUCAGUGAAUCAUCGAGUCUUUGAACGCACAUUGCGCCCCCUGGUAUUCCGGGGGGCAUGCCUGUCCGAGCGUCAUUUCUGCCCUCAAGCACGGCUUGUGUGUUGGGCCCCG